AGGCUCAGUAACACGUGGACAACCUACCCUACAGAAGGGGAUAACCCCGGGAAACUGGGGAUAAUACCCUAUAGACUAUGGAUGCUGGAAUGCUCUGUAGCCGAAAGGUCCGCCGCUGUAGGAUGGGUCUGCGGCCGAUUAGGUUGUUGUUGGGGUAACGGCCCAACAAGCCUGUAAUCGGUACGGGUUGUGGGAGCAAGAGCCCGGAGAUGGAUUCUGAGACACGAAUCCAGGCCCUACGGGGCGCAGCAGGCGCGAAAACUUUGCAAUGCGGGAAACCGUGACAAGGGAACUCUGAGUGCCCGUAAAAUCGGGCUGUCCAUUGGUGUAAAAAACCAGUGAAGAAAGGGCCGGGCAAGACCGGUGCCAGCCGCCGCGGUAAUACCGGCGGCUCGAGUGGUGGCCACUAUUACUGGGCUUAAAGCGUUCGUAGCUGGUUUGUUAAGUCUCUGGGGAAAUCUUCCGGCUUAACCGGAAGGCGUCUCAGGGAUACUGGCAGACUAGGGACCGGGAGAGGUGAGAGGUACUCCAGGGGUAGGAGUGAAAUCCUGUAAUCCUUGGGGGACCACCUGUGGCGAAGGCGUCUCACCAGAACGGCUCCGACAGUGAGGGACGAAAGCUGGGGGAGCAAACCGGAUUAGAUACCCGGGUAGUCCCAGCUGUAAACGAUGCGCGUUAGGUGUAUCGGUGACCACGAGUCACCGAGGUGCCGAAGAGAAAUCGUGAAACGUGCCGCCUGGG
rnacentral:rRNA from 1 species